rnacentral:misc_RNA from 1 species
CUGUUAUAUGUUAGCGACCUUUUUUAUGUCCUUUUCUGUAAUGUGGUCCAUAUCUCUUUCCUUGAGGCAAAAACUACCUUACAUCUUGUUGGGUAAAUCUAUAUUGCUUGUAUAUGAAGUUUGGUGGAUAAAUUUCAAUAACUAUCCUUAAACUUCUAGAGUUGUCUCUGAAUUUAAAAUUAUAAUAUAAAACCCCUUGAAUUUUGAAAUUUUGUACAGUAAAAUU